ACAUGCAAACAAAAGCUCAAGAUUUAAUAACUCAACUUUAUUAUGCAGACACCAGAAAAUGUUUACACAUCCACUAAUUGUAGAGCAGAGAAACACAAGAAAUGGAAUCCAAAGAAGUGGCCAACAUGUCAGGAGUCAGCAGGACAGCGGCCCUGUAGCGUCUCUAUAGCUGUUUAGUUUCUCAUAAUCAGUUAUAACAUUACAGAAUCCCCUGACUGUACAAGCAAACUGUACUUUACUGAUCUCUUGUAAAGUACAGUGGCAAAUAAUGAACUUUAUAGGUCUAACUAAGGUGUGAGUGUUCCCAGGAUCGAGCAAAAACUAGAUUUAUGAUGUUGUGAAUCGAAACCCCCCCCCCCCCCCAAAAAAAAAAAAAAAAAAACUAUUACUAUUUUUAUGUGGAACAUUAUAAAUUUAAUUUGGCAAGCAACUGCUCCUGUUACUGGCUUUAAGAAAGAUAUUAAGAAAUGCACUGAAUGUCUACAAACCUAGUGCCUUACACCAAAUGCAGGCACGUGCAGAAUGGGGUGGGGGGCUGCCGGAGGGAAAUGGUGGGAAAAACCCGUCUUCUCCUUCAAACACAGAAAUGCUUCGGCUCCAGAGAAAACUUCUGACUUUAACUUUACCAGGCGGCCCGUGCUGGACUAGAUGCAGCCAGAGUUGGCCCCACCGCUGUGGAUCAGAACCAGAUAAACGGUACCACGACACACCUCAAAGCCCCAGUACCACCUGCUGACUGUUCGCUUUCUGCUGCACCUUAACAUAACGUGACAACCAGGCGGUUCACACUGCUGCUGACAAAUUGGAUAAAAUUCACCCCAUAAAGCCUGAACAAACAAAAUGGCCUCUGUUCUUCCUACUAAGAAAGUCAACAUCACUGUUUAAAUAUUGAUUUAGUGAAGUCUGCGAGAAGGGGGCCAGGGUAAUUGGCUGAGCUUAAAAUCAUGUGAUGUAUUUCUGAACAAACCCAGCUCAAACACAAAGAUUACAGAUAGCAUCAGAUUGUAGUCAUGGUAACAUAAUCAAACUAUCAAGAAGAUUCUUUGCACUUUUACAAAGUAAACUUCCUAAUUAAAUUCUAAAUGUGCAAUUAUUUUUUAAUCUCUGUUGAAGCCAUUAAAUAAAAUUGAAUACAUUGUCAUACUCAAUAAACAAACGGUAAAGAUUUAGAUAUAUGGUUUGUGUUACAAUACAAGCAUUUAUAGGGCCCUAGACCUUUAAGAUUUUUUAGGCUGACCUAUGAAGACACUGUUACAGUAAUUGACUAAACUUAAAUACAUGGAUGUUUCUCAAGAUUCUGCUAAAUGCUAAAUCUAAAGACAAUAAUUUAUUUGUCAACCUUACAAAUCUGGAUCUUGCAGAAUUAUGUACAGUUAAUCCCUCUGAGCUUUUUCAGUGUCUGCAGCCAAGUUGCUAUGGAUGUUAAACAGCCAGAUAUGAUUAAGGUUUAUUUUGUAAAUGGUCUGUUUAAAAACUACAGUAUCAGAUCAACACAGCCCUCCAGCUCUGUCAGCAGCAGAAAAUUAUACCUAUUGGGGAAAACAUAGACUACAUUUGCUUUGCAUUGCUCCCGCAUGAUGACAAUGAUACAGUAUGAUCCGAUUAAAUAUUAGAUUUUACCCUAAUAUGGGUUGUUGUUAUGAUGUAUGAUGUUUUAAGAUCUUGUUCAAUGUGCCCUUUCUAUCUUUGAGCCCUUGGCCUUCCAAAGGUCUCUGCACGGCCCUGACCAAAUGAGUGACAGUCUGCAAUAUGUACAUUAUGCUAUACAGCAAAUACAACUUUCACUGGCCAUGCAAUGGUAAUUCAUUGUUUAUUAAUGUAUUAUAGGAAAUCAGAAUUAAAAGAUGCAUUCUUUUAUUUUAUUUCAUUUUAAUUUUUAUCCAAUUUUGAACAAAUCUUCAUAAAAUAUGGUUGCCAAAUAAAUUCACAUGCAUCCUGUAAGCUUUCAUCUGGUAACAGGAUGAAACUGACCCUUCCCUCACAUACAACUGCCUAACACAGCCCAGAUAUUUUUAUAAAGUGGGGUUUUGUUGAGAGGUUACACGGAGUCAACAUCUCACUUGAAGCAGAGAAUCCUCCUAAGGUCCAACAGCUAACCAUGCUAGAUCUAAACCAAAGCAGAUUUCUACGAUCCUAAAACUGUGACAAUGUUGUAGCAGUUCAUGCAAUGAAGUUUAAAAACAUCUUAACCACUGUCAGACUUGCAUUAAACCACUAAUAACCUCAGAGUUCAUUGUUUAGUAGAAAAAAGAAAACAUAAUCCAUAAUGACUUUACCAUGCAAAACAUGGACCGUGAAAUGGAUGCUACAACAAUGUAGUGUAAAUGUUUUACACUAGAAUUGGUUUAGGACAGUAGAAAUGGGCUUUCUUCUUGGCCCUACUCUGCUGUUAGCUUAUUAGUUAAAAGUAAUCUAGAUUUAUAUAAAAUAAAAAUACCAAAAGAGAAAUCCACAACUGUCAGGCACUGGUUGCUUAGAACCUUUUUUUUUUUGGCUUUUUACCUAAAAACAAAUUAGUGAAUUUUGUAUGUAUUUAUUUAUUGUCAAGCUAACAAAGAAGAUAAAUCUAAACUAAAUUGUCAGAAAGAGUUUAUGUGUUAGCAUUGUCACAUCUUAUGGACGAAAGUCAAGACUAGCUUAGUUUAUAUACAGCAUCAAAUAAACAGGUUCAUGAAUACACUGAAUAAUAAUAAUUAUAAAGAAAAAAUUGAAUUAAAGGCAAAAUGAAGACAACUUAAUGAGUGCAGAACACCAGAAUGAUAUUCGAUCUGUAACAUCUAUCAUUAGCUCAUGACGCUUUGGAGGAAGAAAACGAGCUGCUGACUCACUGAAGUUCCACCUGUCUCUAACGGACACACAUAAUAAUAGUAAUCAUGUGUGUUGUAACAAACAUAAUUAUAUUAUUUGGAGAAAAAACUUUCUGUACUUUGUCACUCAUAAAUGCCAUCAACUGCUAAGGCAAUCAUUUCAAAGUGCAAAACAUUCAACUGUAUUAAUAAGGUUGCAGCAAGAUCCUUAAGGGAAUAGAUUGGAUCUUCUGAAGUUUUUUUCUGAAACAUCUUCCAUCACCUGUAGUAGAAAGACGACAUAUUGUAGUCACUUUGUAUAGACUGCUGAUUGCAGCCAUUUAAAAUUACUGAAAAAUUGAAAAUGUUUCUGUCCAUGCAACUAUAAAGCAGCAGAUGUACACCAUGCACAUAUCUUUAAUAAGGGGCCAUUCAGUUUUUCAGUUGAACAAUGUUACAGCAGUCUGCAACAUUGACUGCUGUCAAUCUUACUGUGGGCCCUGUCCACAGUAACCCAAAUAUUUAGCAACGCAGAGCCUAAGUACUGCUUCAGCAAUGCUAGGAAUCUUUUUCCAUUUUUCUUGUUCUAUUUUAUGUAUAUACUGUAGACAUUACCACCACAUGCUGGUAAACCAAAGGGUUCACAGACUUUAUCAGAAUCUAACAGACCAUGUACCGUACAUUCAGCUUUCUUUAAAAAAAGAAAAGAUGGCAGUUAAACAUGUUGCAAAGGCUGUUGAUCUGGACCAAUACAGCCAGCAUGACUCAACAGAUGGAAAUGUUGCGUAGUAUCACAGGUAUCUUUUCACCUGACAAAACAAUGACAAACUCAUCAAUGGGCAAUUGUAGAACUGUGAAUCUACUACUACAGCGUUGUGUUUCAGUUCAUAUCCAAUUUGUGUUAAAUAUGUAACUUAGAGUGCUGUCGUCCAGAUGUGAGCCUUCCACCAUGCUAAGGUUGGCAAAUUACCCAGGCAGGAAGAGGCCAGAUUUGGAGAUGGGUGAGGUUUUACCACAUGUUCGGAUCAGAACAAAAGAUACGCUGGUCUCUGGGAUCAAACACAAACCGGGUGUGGUUUA